UGUGCAGCACCAUUAGGUGACGUCAAUGGCUCAGGGUAUCCGAGCUCUGUGUUUCUACUCUUCUCAGAACAGCGGCUGAUUCAUGACAGUAAAGGCGUUUCUAUUUAGAGCUGCAGAAAAGAAGAGGUGGUCCCUUGCUUCUGCAUCCUGAAGUCCUGUGCUAACAGAUUGUCUGCUCUCUCUGUGCAGCAAGAAGCGUUCAGAGCUGGCAGGAAGCCAGGACUGAGACUCCAUUUCAUUGAAGCUGACCAACAGGUUGAGGACCUACUAUGUGCCAGGAAGAUUAAAUUCUCAGAGCUGAAGAAAGCAUUUUGGGCUGAACUAAACAUUAUGAACAAGUCCAUGGCCAUGGACACCUUCGAUGCCCUGAGGCACCGACUGACCCGGUGCCACCCUCCCUCUGGAGCCUCUCCUCACUGUAAGGAGCCCAGGUGGCUGCAGUCCUCCCAGCGCAGGUCCACCUCCUCGUCUGACCAGGCUUCACCUCAUCCUGCACUUCACAAGUCUCCACCACACAUAAAUACAGUGAAUUCUUCCCUGGGUGCUCUUAAAGUCCCUUAAAGACACUGUCCCUUCUUGAAAAUUCUUCAUCAAAGGUCAUAUAAGUUUUCAAAAAUAGAUAGGCAAGUAUGUUUAUUGUAUACUUUUUAAUCAAUGAAUUAUAAAGCAUAAGGUAAAAAACCUACAUGAUCCAACAGGAAAAGUAUAAAUCAAGUGGGAAAAAAUACCUCUAUGCAGGAUGCUCCCUAUGAUAAAACUACCUUAAAAAGUUCCUGAGUAUAACAAUAUACUAAAAUUGUUAUUUUAGUAAGACAGCAUUCAAAUGUAUUGCUCUACACCAUGUAAUGGUAAGAAUGUGAAGUACUAUUUUGAAAUUACUUCUGAUCAUUUGUAGUGGUGAAAUGCUCCAGUGAAGAUAUGCAUUAUAUUUGUUUAUAAGAUUAAGACAGGAAAUAGAACAUCUUUUGUUUGGAAGAAGAACUUUAUAUCAUAAAAUAUAUCAGCCUGGAGAGUUAGGCAUAAGGCACAGGGUAACCAAUGUGCACUACCAAUGAAGCAAGACAAACUUGUAGAGGAAUUUGCGGGGAAAAAUCUGUCAGAGGUAUCUAAUUUUCUCAUAAACCUUCUUCACUGGCAACUACAGUAAGAUAUGGAGAAAGACAAGCAGAGAACACUGGUUGAGAUGUAACGCAUGGCCGAGCUGACAAAGCAAACGGAGGAAGCUGAAUACUGUACCUGCUUGUUAUUGUCAGUGGUACAACACAGCUUCUUGAGGGAGACAAAAUGCCUAAUUUUCCUAAUAAUAUAAAUAAUCAGUUAUUAGUCAGAUAGGAGAGGAUUCAACAAGUCAACAAAUGAAAACAUCAACAGAAUCUUCUAAGCAGGUUUAGAAUUCAAACAAAACCCGUCUUAGGAAACACACUUUCUACCCUGAGCCCAUAUGAGCUUCCCUGGUCAUUCUAGCUGGUUUGGAAACUUUCCUAGUGGGUAUUUCAUUUUGCAAUGGCCUCCUGAAGUUUGGUGCCUAGUUAUCUUCAGUGAUAGAAUGAAGUGCUACUGCACUAAAUUGGUUUUAAUUCAGCUGACAAGAAUAAUUUUAUCGCUUAUUACAAAAAAGAAUCUAAAGACUCAUUUGGACAAUGACCAGAUUUCAUGGUUGCUGUUUUUACAUGAAAUAUUCCCUAUUGUUUCAUACUAUAGUUGUCAUAAUAAUGGCAUUUUUCAGGCAGAGAAAAAUCCUCCAAUUUCGAGGUCAUGAACAGAAUCCUGAAACUCAACCUGUGUUCUUGCUCACCAACACAAGAGACACCAAGUAGGACAUGACAGGCACCCCAGCCUUGUGCAAAAAAAUCAGCUCAGGAUGGAUUUUUCUGUCAAGAGUAAAGCCAUGAAAUCCAGAGAGUAUGUUAUAAUUUAUAUCUGAGAAUUUAUAUCAAAGGAUGCACCCAAAUCUGUCUCUCUCUGUCUCUGUCUCUUUCUUUUACUCUCUCUGGUUUACUUUUCUCUAGAUGAUUCUGAAGAGAGCUUUAAAAAUACUGGUUAUUCUGUAAUGAAUUUUGCACAAAUAGGGCAGGGUCAAAUUUCCCUACUUUUAAUCAGAAUAGCCUCUGAUAGCUCACUGUCUACAAUUAGGGAAAAUAAUACUAGAAAUUAUGUCUGGAUAAAAGAAUUUCUUUCUCUCAUCUGUCAAAUCAGAAAAAAAAUUAUUCUGACAGCAAUUACCAAGCAAUAAAAUGUCUCCUCUGC